GCCCGUAGCUGUAUUAGAAUCUCGGCUUGCUGGGCCGCCGACGCCACCUGAUGCUGAGUCAGGCUCUCCACCGAAGCUUGAAGGGGCUGGACCUGGACCUGGAGGUUCUGCACGGCAAUGGCGGCCGCCUCCAGCUGGUGAGUAUGAUUGUCCGUCAGCUGAAGCUGUCUAUCCAGGGCAGCUUCUAAACUGCCACGGUCUGUGUCGGCUGGGGUCAUCAUGGUGAGUUCGUACUGUUAUGGAUUGUCUCUGACCCCAAGUGCACGACACCAGACACAGCUUAGGUUUAGCCGGAAAACGGCGUAGUUUAUUUCACAAAAUAACCAAAUACGAGAAACAAACAAAAAAAAGGCAACUCCAAAAACUUCUCUAGUCCGUGGGCGCUCUUAGUCCAAUCAAAAAAUGAAAACUCACACGAUACUCACAGGGAAAACAAAAACUCUGCGUAGGGAAUUCCGGAAGGGUUUCCAAGAGGAGCACAGGGGAAGAACAAUCAACCCUCUCUGGGGAAACACAGAGCACGAACUCACAGCGAGCCACUGGCAGAUCUGCUUCUUAACCUCCCUGUGGGAUGAGCUGACGAGCUGCAGCUGUGGCGAUGAGCAGAGCGGCGUCAGGUGUGCGACUCUCUGGCUGGUCGAGCCCUAACAUUAUCAUGUACAUUGCUAAAUGCAUCGAGGUCUCAGAAACGUUUUAGUGCCGGCAAAAGAGUUUGAUUUGUUUAAAUAACCAGGUGGGAAGAAUGUUGAUGACUCAUGUCAGGGAUCAGGGAACAUUUAUUGACAAAAUAUGUCAAACCUACAAGGAAUUUGUCUUGGCUGUUGGUGCGUGACAGUAUAUCAGUCGAAAACCAUUUUGUUCGGAUUUUGUUCCUUCUAAGACGAAGUGGUCAACUGCCUUAUUGCCUGCACAAAUAUUUAUACUUGGGGACAAGAUACUCGUCAAAUAUAAGACAAUAGCACUGCAAUAAACAAGACUACAAACUUUACGAAUUGUAUUUCCACCGUCUGUAUGAAUAACAGAUAUACCGCGGGUACGGAAAGUUUUCAGACCCUUUUAAAUUUUUCGCUCUUUGUUUCAGUGCAACCAUUUGCUAAAGUGAAAAUGAAUUGAAAAGUUGUUUUAUUUCUCAUUAAUGUACACUGGUAAUUGUAUUGGGGGUGGUUGUGGUGGUGGCAGUUGAUGUUGAACAGUCACAGCUAUUAAAAUAUUGUUUAAUCCAAAUGUCAAAAAAAGGUUGGUUAUCAAAGUUUAUGUUAAUGCCCAUGGUUGUUCUGCUAUAUGUCACUUUAGCUCAACCCGUUUGUACUUGUUAUGAAGUAGCAGUGUAUCCCCUAAAACGUCAGGGCGGGGGAUAGUCGGCCAAAGCCAACCGGUCCGACCGGGUGGAUGAUGAUCAGGCAAACGGUUCAGCGAGAAGGGGGUAGUGGUGCUUUGUGCCCCGCUGCUGGGGGAUAACACGCACAUAUUCGUGUCAGUGUGGAACUGCCGUGGGUCAAAAGAUAACUAUAAUUUUUUUUCUCAUUAUUAGUUCACACUCUUCCAGCGGGGGAGGGGGGUGAUGUUACAAUGGUAGGGGAAACACUGGAUAGACACACCAAUUGAAGUACUAUUUAAAAAGGAGGAAUUUCCAGGUACAUUGAGGCGGAACAAGGAAACAAGUUAAAUUUCCCAAACAAGAACACACCCACACCUCAUUACAAUGACUAACGAUGGCUGUGGGCUAUCUAAUUGGCACUGUUGUGAAACUUCCUGGGUUAACAGGUUUGACAUGAGCCUCAUCGACUUCAUCAUGACAGCAGUCAUUCAGAGGGUAGCGGCGGAUGUUGUGGUCGGUGUAGUUGCUGUAUGUGUUGCGAUGGUGUAAGUUGUAGUGUUAGUGGCCGUGUGUUCAGUCCGGAAUAAGAAUGGCAAUUGCUGUAUUUUUUCAAUUCCACAUUUGUUUUGCAGUGUUGGAUGUGAGCUACUCCAGCCCUCUCCUCUCCUGCGAAGGCUUCAGGCGUGCUGCUUUGACUAAAGAGUCAUGUGGAGGCGUAGCUGUGGUAGACAGUGACUUUGGGGUUAUUUAGAGAAGGUGGUGCUUGAUGAUGAGGUAGAAGGAGUUUUGGCAGUUAUAUUAGUUGUGGUGGUCGUGGUUGUGUGAAAUACAUUGUAUUAUUAAUAUGUAUUAUAAUAGAGUCAUUUAGUCAUGGCUGCAGUAGGACAACAGAGUUCCUCCUGGUGGUUGUUGGUGUGCCCUGCAGCCAGGCCAGUGCGGGUCAUAUGUAGAUGAAAUGCAUCUUCCCUCUCUCCCACCCCAGAGCACUUUUACCAUCAUUUCCUAACUAUAGAGCGCACUUGAAUACAAGCCGCACCACCUAAAUUUAGAACGAAAAAAAAGAUUGGCUGAUAGUGAUUGCUUUCGUUGCAAUAGAACGUGGGUGUUGAAUUGGUUUUCACUAGUCUUUGUAAAUUCUUAUAUUAUAUUCUUGAAUUUGUUGCCAUGAGGAGUCUAAUA
ensembl:lncRNA